UACGUAGGGGGCUAGCGUUGUCCGGAAUCAUUGGGCGUAAAGAGCGUGUAGGCGGCCCGGUAAGUCCGCUGUGAAAGUCGGGGGGCUCAACCCUCGGAUGCCGGGUGGAUACUGUCGGGCUCGAGUACGGAAGAGGCGAGUGGAAUUCCUGGUGUAGCGGUGAAAUGCGCAGAUAUCAGGAGGAACACCAAUUGCGAAGGCAGCUCGCUGGGACGUUACUGACGCUGAGACGCGAA
rnacentral:rRNA from 1 species